rnacentral:tRNA from 1 species
GGGCCCGUAGCUCAAUUGGUUAGAGCCGACCGCUCAUAACGGUCUGGUUGCGAGUUCAAGUCUCGCCGGGCCCACCA